UCCCAAGUGGCUCAGUUGGUAUAGAAUCUGCCUGCAAUGCAGGAGACCUGGGUUCAAUCCCUGGGUUGGGAA
rnacentral:tRNA from 1 species